CUUUCUUUUACUCUUCGUCGAUUUCACAAUGAUGAUUAACGCCAAAGAUAUUCGUAUAAUCAUCGGAGUUAUUGGGAAUGUUCUGUCCACUGUGGUCUCCCUCUCAUAUUUGCCAAGGUUUAUACAAAUAUACAAGAAGAAAUCAGUGGAGGGAUAUAAAGUUAAUCGUCAGUUGCUGAUGCUGGCUAAAUGUAGUUUGUGGGUUUUGUAUGGUAUCCCUUUUGUUCACAAUGACAGUAAUAGUAUUCUCGUCUCCACUAGUAAUGGCGUCGGUUUCGUUAUCGAAGUUAUCUAUGUCGUUGUCUUUUGGAUCAAUUGUAAC